rnacentral:lncRNA from 1 species
UGGUAAGGUGCACGAAGGUCGUCUGGUCUACUAAUUAAGCCCACAAGAGAUUUGUUGAGUUGGUUUGUUAAUUAACUACUUUACAUUUUAUUCCUCCUUCGACCAGACUAUCCUGAAUAUACAGCUCAUACAGGCACCCUUUGCGGGUUUUUUAACGAGACUGUGUACGAUUAUAAUUUUUGAUAACAUGUCUCUAUAUUUAUAACCUUGUGAUCAAUGCUACAUCAUUUAGCAAGAGAGGGAUGAGCUCCCCAGGAGACUUAUCAAGGAAACUGUUACAAGAAGGGCCUUUAGCCAACUUAGCUAAUCCAUGUGCAACAAUAUUAGCUUCCCUAGGACAGUGCACAAAUGAAGUAAAAUAGAAUUUGCACGCCAUUGAUAGCAAUCACCAAAAAAAUGCAGCCACGGGGUGCAGUGAUCGGCCUCCCUCGUUCAUUGUAUUGAUAACCUGCAGAUUGUCCAAGUUCACUAUGAUCUUGUUGAAACCAAUUGUCUGUGCAAGAGAAAGUCCAUACCGCAGAGCUAUAGCUUCAACAAAAAUAAACAUCAGGGCCCAUAUCAAUUCUCCAAUUACUUGCAUUAAUAAAGUUCAUCUUCUCAACCCAUAUAAUAGGUAUUCCCCUCCAGGAAAUCUUGAUCGAAUGGGGCGUCUACAUUAAGCUUCACAUGGCUCCUAGGAGGUAACAAAUUUCUUUGUUGCUUUAGGGGCUGUAGUGUUGGAAUUUUGUCUACUUUAGGCCUAGCCCAAUAGCAGUUUUAGAAAUUCUUAAUAAAUUCUAAAAGCCUACGCAGCCCAUUCAUACAAGGCAGGAGGUGGAACUAAAGUUAAAUCCCACAUUACUAGUUUAGAGGGAGUUAGACCUCUUUAUAAGGGAAGUUCUUUCCCCACUAGUAUGAGCAUGAGAACAAGAGGGACAUCCACGCGCGCUCCUCCCCCGCCGCCCGCCACGCCACGCCUUGGGUUGCGGGAAUGAGCCAAGCCGAUGUCUAAAUUUUUACCACGCACUACGGGUAUACGAAAGGUCACACGAAAACUGAAAAGAUUUUUGCGAAAGUGAAGUUUGAAUGCGAACGGUGCAGCCCUUCGGCUGUUGGCUGUUCGCUUCAUCUCUGUCUCUUCGUUUCACCUCCCAUCGCUGCCCUCUCGCCUCCUUCUCUUGCGCCUAUAAAAGGGAGGUCGCUCCUACCAGAAAGACGCACCAGAACCUUUUCUUCCUCUCGCCACAAGUUCCUGAUCACUGCGCUGCUGCUACGUUCUUCCCCAUCCCUACUUGCGGCGUGCACCGCGGGUCAGGACAGUAGGCCUCCGAAAUCGCACCUUUUGAGUCCUGUACGGGAGGAGGGUGAUAAGGUUUGUGGGGAGCGCUCAGCGCGACUACUGACUUCUUCGUCACGGACGCCCUGGUACUACUGACUUCUUCAUCGCGGACGCCCCGGACUCCGACGACUACUUCCCCGACGACGACUUCUUCCCCGAUGUUGACGACCUUCUCGACGACAUGGCUGGCGACGACACCGACCCCAAGUCCAGUGCUACUGCUGCUGCUGUCCCGUACGUGUUCUUGCUCUUUCUGUUAGAAAUUCUCUAGCAGUUCUUUGCUCUAGUGUUUGUCCUACAUAUGUUAGGUUCUACGCUAUCUAUGCAACCUGUUCUAUUAUCUGCUUUAGACAUGUUUGGUUGCAGUUCAUAUAUGAAGAUGUUAUUUACCUUCUCUCUGUUAGAUCGCAUGACUACUUUUAUCCAUGUUAUAUUAGUCAUGCUUUAUCUAAUAUUUCUAUUAAUAAAAUCAUUUGGUAAAUUGCACAUAUUUCCAACAUGUAGUAGUAGUGAAAUUCGCCGACAAGAUCUAGAUGGAAGUGGCAAUUUGAGUCGCAUUUUGGGCUUGCUCGCCAUGGGGCACUAUUCUUCUCCCCUAGACAGUUACUACUCCCUUCGUUCACUUUUGUAAGUCGUUUCAGACAACUCAAAAUGAGCUGUUUUGCAUAUUGUCUGAAAUGUCUUCAAAGUCUUAGGUCCCUCCAAAUGCUCCACCUUGUACGGGUGCUAAGCAUGCCAUGUAGACGAAAAAUCUGAUGUGGCAAGGCAAUUAAGAGGAGAGAGAUGUUUUGUAAGUCGUUUCAGACAACUCAAAAUGAGUUGUUUUACAUAUUGUCUGAAAUGUCUUCAAGGUCUUAGGCCCCUCCCAAUGCUCCAUCUUGUACGGGUGCUAAGCAUGCCAUGUAGAUGAAAAAUCUGAUGUGGCAAGACAAUUAAGAGGAGAGAGACGGGUGUAGUAACCCCGAAAAGAAUUAAUGCCAAACGCGCGAACCUAGGCAAAAUAUUUAAAUGAAGCAAACUCACCAAUGCAUGAGAGUGUUUAGUAGCUAAAUCAUUAAAUGAAGGGAGCUUAGCUACAAAAAACUAAUCAUCUAUGCAUAGGGAAGUUUGUUGCUAAGCUAUUUAAUAUGCUUAGCACCCCAUCUAAGUACCUGUCCAUUGGGAGCAGCCUUAUAAAAGUGAACAGAGGGAGUAGUAUUUUUCAGUUUCCAGCAGUACGCACUCUAGGUAAUUAAUGGUACUACUGAUAACAACAGUGAGUUGAAUUAGAACUUACUAGUAAGUUUGCACGUGCAAUGCACGUCUCCGCCCAAAGAAAAUCCUUGCUCAUAGAACCCUUCUAAGCCAUCUAUGCUCAUAGAACCCUUCUAAGCCAUCUAUAUUCUAUUGUCUAUGUCACAUUUGAUAAUCUAUGAUGAACUGAAUUAUGCAAGCUCAGUUAGUCACGUCAAAUUUAAAAAUAUGUAAUGUGCCUUUUACUACGUCACGUUGGAUAAUCUAUGAUGAACUGAAUUAUGCAAGCUCAGUUAGUCAAGUCAAAUUUAAAAUAUAUGUAAUGUGCCUUUUACAAAUACUUCCUCCGUAAAGAAAUAUAAAAGCCUUUUAUAGAGGGAGUAUAAAGAAGACAUGCUAGAACAAAAAAAAAUGGCACUUUCUGUCGGCUUUGAAUUCACAUAAGAUUAAUUGAAAGCAAAGAAGACAUGUUGAAACAAAAGGGAUAAGAGCAUCUUCAAAAGUCAGAGUGAUGUAGCAGCAUCAACAAUGAUCUAACAACUUGUAACACAAGAUACAUCUAGAAUGAUAAUAUAAAAGUCAGCAUGUGCUUAUCUCGGAAGCAAUAGACAAUGAUAGUAAAAAAUGAAUUGACCUCUGUCUGGAGAACAACAUGCCAUGUAUAUUGGCUAUUGUAGAAGUUAGAAGAGUUAGCUCGAGACAACUUUGCUAAAUUCAGCAAUAUAUUUGUGUAUCUUGGGGCAAUCUCCAUUGCACCUCACCGUUGUCAGCAAGUGGAACCACUAUGUAGCAACUGUGUUUACCUAAUUAGCCAUAAAAAAAUAAGAACACACGCAAAUCUACUCUUACAUGCAAAUGUUGCACAAACCAUUUGGACUGAAUUGAUAAUAAAGUGCGCUUUUACCGGUUUGGCAUUUUGUACUUGUUAAUCGUGUACAUGCAAUGCACGUCCUGACUAAUAAAGCCAAAAUGAAAAGUCUUAAAAGCAUAAGAAAGGUAAGAGCAUAAAAUGCUUCCACCCAGUGGAAAUAAAUUCAUACAUGACAUGCUACGUCUAAGCUAUAUAUGAAACAAGAUCAAGAAUCAAAAGGAAUAUGUUAGAUUUUUAAGAACCCAUCCUCUUUUAAUUAUAAUUUAGAAAUAUUCGGUUCAAGUGAUUACCUUGGUUGAACAACUGCUACUGCUAUGCACUCUUGCUUCUCUUGAGUCUUGAGUCUUGACAUAGACUAUUCAUCUUACAAACAAGAAAUAGCCUUAUAAGGAUGUAGCCAUUUGGAUCAAAAGCUUGCAGAUGAAACUUCAUAGACAUUCUAAAAAAAUCUAUAGAGAACAUAUGCUGCAACAAAAAUUGACUAAUCUAAGGACCAAUGUUGGCAUACAACAUGGGCGCAACUCUCUGUCUGAAACCAUUAUUAAGAGAACAAGAAAAGAACAUUUGCAACAUUAACAUCCGAGCAAUUGAAAAGGACAUUUCUAUGUUAAGGUGCAUGCCAUAUUUCUCAUGCACUAUUUUUAUUCAGAAUUCCUACCCGUUGUUAUUAAUAUGUUAUUAUUCUGAAUUCCUACUUAGUGUUAUUAUUUAGUAAAGAUAACAUGCAUUGCUGUUUAUUUUUCAUUAGUAAGUAAAGGCAGGGAAGAAAGUCAUGUGCACACUCUGCAGAUAUAAAAAAACUAAUGCAAUAAGACACUCUUCAUCAUUCAGAAUUCUUUCCAUUUACUUAUACAAGGGCACUAUGAAAAUACAUUGCAGGGAUGGGUCAAAAGUUUCUUGCCUGGUGAGGCAAAACAACUCUUUCAUCAGUCACGUACAACGUUCCCUUUUCAUCAGUUAGAUAAUAUCAUCAUGAAGCAACAGAGAUCCAAACUAAAAGGGAAACAAUUAUUGCCUUAUUAAUUCUGUCUUGCUCCUCCUCUCUGACAUACUCAGAUCGAAUAUCCUCCCCUCCCACUACAAGGAAUUAUCAAUCAGACAUGAUAUAAGGUGCAGUUCAUAGAAGGUGCUGAACUGCAAUUGUGAAAGAGAAAGAGUAGUUUAGAGAAAGAAAGAGAAAUAACUCAUGUACCAAUAGGUUGCACUGAUUCAUCACUGACCAAAUGUGUGGAUCUGUUGGUUACCCUGCUCCAUACAUUUGCAUCAACGUCUAUACUUCUGUAUGAAGAUUCUUUGGUGAGGUUUUAUUCAGAGAUCAAAUCUUAUUGUACUAUAUAGUCAGUGAUUGUAUCUUGUGGUCAGAGAUAUGAGUGAAUGCUAUAAAUCUUAGAUAUUCUGUACAUGAAGUGCAUGCUUCUAGGCUCAAUAUCUAGAAUGGACAUCUAAGAAUUAUGGAAAAUGGACAUGUGAGAACAAGUUUCAUAUUAUCUAAGAUUUAGUUGCUAAUCCAAGUAUGGAUAGCUCAAGUUAUUAUAAAGGCAUAUGCAACAGGGAGAAAGCCUGUGCGCGGUAAUGUACAACAGGGAGAAAGCCUAUACUUCACAAAACAUUUUCUUCGAAAAGUAUGGAAAACUUCUAGGAAAUUGCAGGCAAAUGCACAGUGCAUAAUUAUUAGCUUGCACAUAAAAACGAUACGAAGUUAACAAAUAACUUUCCUAUCCGAAUAUCAUGCCAGUCAUAUCAAACAAAAGUUGAAUGGAUCAACUAAUGAAAAGAUAAUGUUACAUUGUUAUUCACCUUUGCUAGUGUUCUUAUGUCAACCAAAUAUAGUUUUCCACCUGGUGACGUUAUCCUCAGCUUUCUUUUACACGGCUGAUAGCCCUUCAAUCAUUUGCUCCUCCCCUGUUGCUCUAAUAUUAAAGCUCCUAUACUCGCUUCUCAUAUGCUUUCUUCAAGUCAUUACGAACCUGCAUGAGUUGUCAUAUACUCUCCAUAGUCAAUUUGAACAUCCUAAUCAAAUGAGACAUGGUCAAUUUGCAUUUCAGAUUUGUAGUAAUUAGCGUAAUAGUACAGACUAUUCAACAGAGUUAAUUGAAACUAAUUAAUUAAUUUGAGAUGGUGACUGCAGUGAAUAAACAUACGCAUGUUGUCAUUGCCGACCUCCCUGGCGAUGUCGCGAUGCCGGUCAGCUUGUGUUGUACUCCCAGCACACCUCUUCCAGCGGUCAACGGUGAUGUACCCG